UACAGAGGGUGCGAGCGUUAAUCGGAAUUACUGGGCGUAAAGCGUGCGUAGACGGAUAUCUAAGUCGGGUGUGAAAGCCCCGGGCUCAACCUGGGAAUUGCAUUCGAGACUGAAUAGCUAGGGUGCGGUAGAGGGAAGCGGAAUUUCCGGUGUAGCGGUGAAAUGCGUAGAUAUCAGGAGGAACACCUGUGGUGUAGACAGCUUACUGGACCAUUUCUGACGCUGAGACACGAAAGCGUGGGUAGCAAACAGG
rnacentral:rRNA from 1 species